UACGUAGGGUGCGAGCGUUGUCCGGAAUUAUUGGGCGUAAAGAGCUCGUAGGCGGUCUGUCGCGUCGAUCGUGAAAACUUGGGGCUUAACCCUGAGCUUGCGGUCGAUACGGGCAUGACUGGAGUUCGGCAGGGGAGACUGGAAUUCCUGGUGUAGCGGUGAAAUGCGCAGAUAUCAGGAGGAACACCAGUGGCGAAGGCGGUUCUCUGGGCAUUACCUGACGCUGAGGAGCGAAAGUGUGGGGAGCGAACAGG
rnacentral:rRNA from 1 species